UACGAGGGGGGCGAGCGUUGUCCGGAUUUAUUGGGCGUAAAGAGCGUGUAGGCGGUUAGGUAGGUCCGUUGUGAAAACUCGAGGCUCAACCUCGAGACGCCGAUGGAAACCAUCUAACUAGAGUCCGGAAGAGGAGAGUGGAAUUCCUGGUGUAGCGGUGAAAUGCGCAGAUAUCGGGAAGAACACCCGUGGCUAAGGCGGCUCUCUAGUACGGUACUGACGCUGAGACGCGAAAGCGUGGGGAGCGAACAGG
rnacentral:rRNA from 1 species